rnacentral:rRNA from 1 species
GAUGAACGCUAGCUACAGGCUUAACACAUGCAAGUCGAGGGGCAGCGGGAUUGAAGCUUGCUUCAAUUGCCGGCGACCGGCGCACGGGUGAGUAACGCGUAUCCAACCUUCCGUACACUCAGGGAUAGCCUUUCGAAAGAAAGAUUAAUACCUGAUGGUAUGAUGAGAUUGCAUGAUAGCAUCAUUAAAGAUUUAUCGGUGUACGAUGGGGAUGCGUUCCAUUAGGUAGUAGGCGGGGUAACGGCCCACCUAGCCAACGAUGGAUAGGGGUUCUGAGAGGAAGGUCCCCCACAUUGGAACUGAGACACGGUCCAAACUCCUACGGGAGGCAGCAGUGAGGAAUAUUGGUCAAUGACGAGAGUCUGAACCAGCCAAGUAGC